rnacentral:rRNA from 1 species
GACGAACCGUGCGAACGUUAUUCGGAAUCAUUGGGCUUAAAGCGCGUGUAGGCGGAUUCGUGCGUCUGUCGCUGAAAUCCCCCGGCUCAACCGGGGAAGUGGCGUGGAUACGACGAGUCUGGAGGGGCAUAGGGGGACCUGGAACUUCCGGUGGAGCGGUGAAAUGCGUUGAGAUCGGAAGGAACGCCCGUGGCGAAAGCGAGGUCCUGGAUGCUUACUGACGCUGAGACGCGAAAGCCAGGGGAGCGAACGGG